CUCUGUCACUUCCCAACGCACGCCUUCCUGCCGGCCGCCGCACCAUCCAUGCUGUCUUGGUGCAUGGCUUGUUCCACCACGGUGCACUCUCAGGAACAUACACCCUGCCUCAAGUGAUGAGUCGCUGCUACACCGGUGUUGUGGGCCUAAGUCAUCUGGACGUGCAUGGUGCUCACUGCUGCUUUGCUGAGUUUUGGUCCGUGUAUUAUCCGCUGUCAAGACAUUGUUUCCUGCUUCACCGUUCGCGUGCUGUGGCACCGAAGCUAGCGGCAGUGGCGGGCACAGACACCUGCUUUUAGUGUUGGUCUGGCGUGAUCGUGAAUGAAUGUAAUCGUGUAUUAAUGUGUAUGACUGUAACCAUGUGUUAAUGUGUAUGUUCAUUGUUUGUUAUUUGUGUCUUGUGGUGUUUGCUGUUGGUUUAUGAUUUUGGCACUGGUAGGAGGCCACCUCUGUUGCUGCAGACCACCUGAGAUUGUGGUACCCUACCACUGUUAUGUGUGUGUUUCUUUACCAUUUAUUAUUUUGUUUCCAGGAGCUGAGAGCCCAAGGGGAGGGUAGAAGUAACCCUGAGGUGGUGGUGUCCCAUACCUGUGUGCUGUGUUCACGUGUGCUCGUUGCAGUGGAUCUUUCUUGCAGUGUGUAGUGUGUGUGUGUGCGUGCACGUGUAAGUGGUUGGCUUCCUGAGAUUCCCCCCGGCCUAUGGUGAUCUGCCUCCCCCAGUAAGCCUCAGCCCUGGUAUCC